rnacentral:rRNA from 1 species
CCUACGGGGGGCAGCAGUGAGGAAUAUUGGUCAAUGGACGAGAGUCUGAACCAGCCAAGUAGCGUGAAGGAUGACUGCCCUAUGGGUUGUAAACUUCUUUUAUAUGGGAAUAAAACGUUCCACGUGUGGGAUUUUGUAUGUACUAUAUGAAUAAGGAUCGGCUAACUCCGUGCCAGCAGCCGCGGUAAUACGGAGGAUCCGAGCGUUAUCCGGCUUUAUUGGUUUUAAAGGGUGCGUAGGGGGUUGUUAAAGUAGUUGGUAAAGUUUGUGGGCUAAACGGAAAAGUGCAGUUGAAAAUGGCAGUCUUGAGUACAGGAGAGGUGGGCGGAAUGCGUGGUGUAGCGGUGAAAUGCUUAGAUAUCGCGAAGAACUCCGAUUGCGAAGGCAGUUCACUGGACUGCAACUGACACUGAGGCUCGAAAGUGUGGGUAUCAAACAGGAUUAGAUACCCGAGUAGUC